AUCUGGUGGACAUGUCGAGUAAAGAGCUCUCCUCAUUAAGCCCAUGACGAAUCUUAUCUCUUACAAUAAUUAUAGUAACAAUUGCUGUUAAAAUCAUUUCUAUUUGUUUUUCCUCGCCCUUAACGCACAAAUCCUGGGACUGUCUCUGCAUAAAGCGUUUCGACAGGGUCCGAGCAAGACGUUCAAAAAGUACAAAAAGUUGCCAAUUUUUAUUUGCAUACAUUCAAAAUGUUGAAAGUGUGGCUCCUAAUUUUCGCCACCUUCACUCUCACCGUCGCCUCGUUGGACAAUUGCAUCCGCUACAAUCAGCCUUGCGUUCCGACCGACGCGUUGAAGGGUAACUGCUGCAGUGGGUACUACUGCCGAUCACCGGACGGGAUUAUGGGGUCCUGCUUGUACAGUGGGUACUACUACGAUUAUCAGUAAAAUGAGGAAGGAUUUUCUACUUUUUGGACAAAAUUUCAAAUUUUUAGUAAGAAUUAGUUAGAACAGAAAUAAAUAAAUAGAUGAAAAGUUUGUCUCCA